AUAAUGGUAUUAAUACUAGAAAUCUUGAAAGUGAUUAGAAGUUCAUCCAAAUGCAAGAAAAAGUUUUUAGAGAGCAUGUCUUGAGAUGGAUUUGUCUAAAGAAAAAAAGUUUGGUUGAAUUGACCUUUUCAAUCUUUAGUUUAAGAACUUCCAAGUUUUAACAAAUAACAAAUGCAACAAAACAUAUGAUUUAAGAAAAAAAGAGAAAAACCAUUGAGGAUCAGUGUUCUAGGAGGCUGACUGGUAUAACAUAUGGAUGAGGACCAUUGGAACUUGCUUCUUGUUAAAUCUGUUUUUACUGGUUUCAAUCGAGCCUAGAUGUUGUUUUUUAAUGAGUCAAGGAGCCCUUGGUUCUGUUGCUUAAGAUGUUAUAACACAAGCAGAUUGCAACAAUGCUAAUAUUACUUUAACGAUCGGCUUCUAGCUAUUCCUGUAGUGGAAACAAAUAUAUAUUACUUUAUAGAUUAUCUUGUUAUGCUUGUCUUUAUCCUUUACCAAUGCAUCACAAUUAAAUUUCAAGUAUGUCUCUUCUUCUUCUUUGACCUUUACCAAGAGCGUAUAACACAAGCAGAUUGCAACAAUGCUAAUAUUACUUUAACGAUCGGCUUCUAGCUAUUCCUGUAGUGGAAACAAAUAUAUAUUACUUUAUAGAUUAUCNNNNNNNNNNNNNNNNNNNNNNNNNNNNNNNNNNNNNNNNNNNNNNNNNNNNNNNNNNNNNNUCUUCUUCUUCUUGACGAGAGAGAGAGAGAGAGAGGGGUGGGCAUCACAUACAAGGGUAUUACCACUAGCAUAUUAUUAUUGAAGUUUAUAAUGUUGACUGUAUUGUCAAUAGUGGUCUAUUAUAUUCUUUAAUUUCUUACACUCCUAGGGCACCUUAUCUUAUUUUUCUUCUUCACAAGCUCACCGAAAAAAAGGGACUACCAGAAAUCAAUGUGAUCGCAUUUUUGAGACUAUCCAGUCCUUCUUCCCCGAUCUCUACCAAGAGAGAGCUCAUCAAUCUCUACCAAGAGGGAGCUCUUAUCUCAAUUCUCCUUCCCACAUGCUCAGCAAGAACAUGAAAUUACGAAAAAUCAGUGUAAUCACAUUUUUGAGACUAUUCAGUGCUUUUGCUUCUGUAUUCCAAAUACACUUUGGUUCACUUUUCUUUCUGAAAUUUUUCAUCAUCUUAUUCUCAUAGCAGUUUUUUUUAUUAUUACUAGUAUGCUUUUCAUCUCAGUGAAUGAACCAAUUUCUAAGCUAGAUCUGCUGUCAGUUUUCCAUGUACACAGUUUUGGGUGGAAGUAUAUAGUUGCUUUUAUUUUUUGUGCACUUUCUUCAAAUGCUAUCUAUGCAUUGUCUUCGAGUGUCUUGGAAUGCGAAUAUUUUCAGGUACCGUUUCCUCUCUCCCUCUUCCAUUUUACCCGCACUACCUCUUUAAUGGUUGACAAUCUCAUCUAUAUCUUCUUGAUGGUGAUUCAUCAACUUCAUCUCCUUCCGGGCCUCUUAUCUCUUGCCACUCUCGAGCAUCUUGUUUAUAUGCUUAUCCUUCUCUCUCUCCUUUUCCUUUCUUUCUCUUCUCCAUGAUUGACAAUCUUAUAUUUUGAUCUGCUUUUUUUAGUAGGUAAGCCAUCAACCAAAGCUCCUAUCAAAUUUCCCAUGGCAAUGUCUAUAUGAAAGGGGCAAUGUCAUUUAAUGUGUGAUUGUACUUGUUUUAUUGUUUUUUCCCUCUUACUAAGCAAACCAAGCUCAUAGUUUGGUCAUCUAUGUACAUUUUCCUUAGGCAUAGUCUUAAGCAUUAGGAGCGAUCAUGUUUUUGCUGAUUGGGUAAGGAUGCUACUUUCUAGAGUAUGUUCUCUGCAAUUCUAUAGGGAUGUGACUAGUUAAGGAUAUGCCAACUGUGUUCUUCCCUUUUCCUUCUUGAUGGACAAGAAAAUUUAAUUACUUUAGAUUAUAUUAUAUUCUCAGAUCUUUGAUAUGAUUUUUUUAUAGAUGGUUUUUGACACUUCUUUUAGGUAGUAUUAGUAUGCAAAAAUCCUACUUUAGAUAUAUGUUUAUUUGGAUAACCAUAAGUUCAUCAAGAUUUGACUUUUAGUUGUUGUACUGUCUUUAUAUAGCGCUAAUUGGGCUGCCAAAUUUCAACAAAUAUUUUAGGUACUCGUAUGGAGAUUCGCUACUAGCUUAUGGGCCUAUUUGGCAUCACUUUUUAUUUUUUAUUUUUAAAAAUACAAUCAUAGAAACCGAGAUAAAAAAACAUGUUUGGUGCCGUUAUUUUUGUUUUCUAUUUUUCAAAAUUUAUUUUCAUUAUUUCUAAAAAAAAUACAUUUGCUAUUUUCAAAAACAAGGAAUUCAUGCCUUUUACCACCACCACCGACACCACCUACAUCGUGGCCACCAUCACUGCUACUAUCACCGCCAUCAUCUUCACCAUCAUCAUCACCACUACCUUAGACAUCAUUUCUAUGACUACUAUCAUUGCUACCACCAUCGUCGUCUUCUCCACCACUGCCACCACCAUCAAUGCUGCCACCAUCACUACAACCAUUGCCGCCAUUGCCACCACCACACCACCGCCACUACCAUGGCCUCUACUACUUCGUCAUCACACAAUCACAAUUAUAAUUGCUACCAUCCCACAUUAUCUGUUUUUCCACCACCAUUGUCGCUAAUGCCAUUACCCCCUUGCCGUCACUACAUCAUUAGCACCCCCAUUGCUUCUACCAUCACCACUACCACUACCGUCUCCAUUGUCUCCACCACCACUACCACCAUCUUGCCCAACAUCAUCAUGUUUAUCUUUUUAAGAAUAAUUAGCUAUAUGAAACAUGUUUGUAUUUUUAAAAAUCUAAAAAUAAGAUAUAGACAAUUUUUAUCUUUUAUUUCUGAAAAUGAAAAAAAAUGAAAGUGAUGCCAAACAACACCUUAGAGUCCUUGUAAAACUAGUAAGCAAAGUGUCCUCUGGCCGAUCACUAAAAGGCAUUGUGCAUGGUUUGUUCUCUCUCUCUCUCUCUCUCUCGCUCGCUCGCUCUCCCUCCCCACUUGAUCUAUUUUCUGUUAUUUUUAGACUUUGGUUACAUUAUCUCUAUUGUGCAUGUACUUUUUGUUGAAUUUCAGAUAUAAGUCAACUAUUGACCCUUUUGUUGAGCUUGAAAUCCUUGAGAACCUUAUUCCUCCUAGCCUUCCCCAUCACAAAAAUUGUAAUGCAAAUUUAUUUGAGAUUUUACUUUUCCCUUAAGUCUUAAAGAUAUCCUGCUGUCCUUUGUGCAAGUUUAGGAAAGCAAGCAAUCAAAUUAGACCAACCUUACUUUAAGCCUUAGUCUAGGUCCUCCAGGGCCCCAAUGCAUUGCAGGGCAUCCCAUAUGGAUCUUCCACAGUUGACAAUGUCAUAUGUUCAUUUGCAAACUUCAAUUAGUGAUCUGUCAACUUCAUCUUCUUCUAGUCCUCCCAUUUCUCAAGAUGCCAACUUCUUGAGCAUCUGCUCUAUUAUGCUCCUCUUCCCUUUUUUUUUGCUCUUCUCCCUCUUUCCUCAUGGUUGAAAAUCAAAUAUGUUGUCUGCAUCUUUCCAUUUUGUCUUGUUAGCUUCAUCCCCUCCUAUGAUUCUUGUGCUAGGUGUUAAAUACUAAAGGAGCAUAUGUUGACCCAGCUAGUUCAGCAACAUUAGUUCCAAUUGAUUAUUCUGUCACCUUCAAUGAUUAUGAUCUUACCUUAUUUUCCUUUGAUUGUCAGUAUUCUAAUUGCAAUAAACAGCUAAGAAUGACUUGCUGUUAUUGAUGUAUAUUUGCCCACCUUUUAGUGCUUUCUAGCAGGUAUUCAUUUUCACCGAGUCAUAAAAUGUGCCAUCUCAAAUUUCUGUUCUAGUUGUCAGUAUUAAAGGAGCAUAUGUUGACCCAGUCUUUUUGGCAGUAUUAAUUCUAAUUGAUUGUUCUGUCACCCUCAAUGCUUAUGAUCAUAUCGCCUAUGUUUUCCUUUAUGUGUGUCACUAUUCUUACUGCAAUAAACAGCUACUAGAGUAGCUUACUAACUUGCUGUUGUUGAUGUAUAUUUGCUCAACAUAAAUGGCUUUCUAGUAGGUGUGCAUUACGACCAUGAGUAGUAAAUGUGCCAUGUAGUUGACAUGAUAUCUUAAUGGCAUGAGUUCCUAGAGCACUUUUUGCUCCCAAACAUUCUCUUAACUGGGAUCACUUCCCUCAUAUUCCUAGGAAAAGUUGUUUCUUGAAAAUUGGUCCACAAAAUUAAUUAGGGUUUUUUGCAUGGAUAACCUUCUAAAUAUCCAAAUUUGCGUGAAUAUCCUUUCAAAAUUGAUAUUUGCAUGUAUACCCUCGUAAAACUCUGUUAUUGUACAAAUACCCUAAUAUAACGAUUGUUGUAACGGAGUUAAAAAAAAACAUAUUUAUAUUAAUUAAAAAUAAAAUAANNNNNNNNNNNNNNNNNNNNNNNNNNNNNNNNNNNNNNNNNNNNNNNNNNNNNNNNNNNNNNNNNNNNNNNNNNNNNNNNNNNNNNNNNNNNNNNNNNNNNNNNNNNNNNNNNNNNNNNNNNNNNNNNNNNNNNNNNNNNNNNNNNNNNNNNNNNNNNNNNNNNNNNNNNNNNNNNNNNNNNNNNNNNNNNNNNNNNNNNNNNNNNNNNNNNNNNNNNNNNNNNNNNNNNNNNNNNNNNNNNNNNNNNNNNNNNNNNNNNNNNNNNNNNNNNNNNNNNNNNNNNNNNNNNNNNNNNNNNNNNNNNNNNNNNNNNNNNNNNNNNNNNNNNNNNNNNNNNNNNNNNNNNNNNNNNNNNNNNNNNNNNNNNNNNNNNNNNNNNNNNNNNNNNNNNNNNNNNNNNNNNNNNNNNNNNNNNNNNNNNNNNNNNNNNNNNNNNNNNNNNNNNNNNNNNNNNNNNNNNNNNNNNNNNNNNNNNNNNNNNNNNNNNNNNNNNNNNNNNNNNNNNNNNNNNNNNNNNNNNNNNNNNNNNNNNNNNNNNUCUUCUUCUUCUUGGGAUCCCGAUACGCGGGGGGCGGGGAGGAAGCCGGGCACCGGGUGGGGGGGCUGGUGUUGCUGGUGUGGGGUGGGGAGGGGAGGGAAGAGUAAGUAAGGCACCCGGGGGAGGAAAUAGUAAGGAUAGUAACGUCAUUUUAAUUUUUUAUUUUAUUUUUAAUUAAUAUAAAUAUGAUUUUUUUAACACCGUUAAAACAACCGUUAUAUUAGGAGUAUUUGUACAAUAACAGAAUUUUACGAGGGUAUACAUGCAAAUAUCAAUUUUGAAAGGGUAUUCACGCAAAAUAAGAUAUUUAGAAGAGUAUCCACGCAAAAAACCCAAUAAAUUAACUCUGAUUGUUUGAUUGAGUGAUUAAAACAUGACUAAUGGCUUAUGGGUUCACCUGAGAGUAAGGUGUGGGCUUCUCUGAGAUGGCGAGACCUUUACUCCUUUUUAAGAUGACCAUCCAAAUUUGCCAACAUAUCUUGCUCGUAAAGUGUAUUGGUGGUUGUGCUAGAGACCUAAAUUCAUAUCUUGCCUUCACUAGGAUUUAGGGGACUAGGGAUAUUUGGGGGAGGGCUACCUUUUUGUUUUUCAACCUAUUAACUACAAGCCCCUAACAUUUUUUGCGAAAAGAAAGAGAAGAAAAAAAAGUUGACUAUCAUGUGAUGAUUAAUUGUUGUUCUAUGUAUUAUAUUUGAAGAAUGCUUUUCUUUAUGCCUUUCCUCUUGGUUUCAAGCAUCCUUGGUAGCAUGUUUGUCAUCAGCAUUGAACUAUUUAUGGUCUAAAAUAAGGUGCUUGAGUUUUUAUUGAGAUGUUUAUCUACUCCAUCCUUGCAACAGGUUUUCAAUAUGUGCAUGAUAAUUUGUUUGCUCGCUCUUCACAUGAUCAUAUUAUCUUGCUAAUAUGCAUAAGUAACAUUGUCAUCAUAGAGUAUGAUUUUCAUCUUAUUUGUUUUGUUAGGAGUAUCGGAGUAGAGUGGCCUAUAGAUGUAGCUAAAGCCGACUUAAAGGGCUUUAAUAGGAUUAACUUUUGAAUGUAUCUGGUCAAAUUUUGUUAGGUUCUAGUUUGAUGUUCUAGAGUCUAAUAGGAGUUUCUACUAGGCAUGUAUUUAGGUUGGUACUGGAUGUGCACUGGAUCUAAGUUCUCUCCCUAUUAAGCAUUCUGAUAGGAGUCAAAUUAGGGAAUUGUUAUGUAGCCGGCUAUUCCCCUUUAAUUGAGGAAUUUGCAAGCUACUACUUACCUAUUGGAGAGCUUGGGGUAUGUCCUUUGUACAUAUGCACUGGCAUCAGAUCCUCCAAGCCACGCUAAGCCACAUGCUGGAAGAUAGAACGGGGAGGGGGGGCUUUAAUUGAGGAAUUUGCAAGCUACUACUUACCUAUUUUGGAGAGCUUGGGGUAUGUCCCCUAUUUUGGAGGAAGGGGGGGGGGGUGUUGGAGGGAAUUGGUGUGGAUGAAAAAAUGGAUACUGAGAGAAACUUUUCAGUUCUACUCCUCACACGAGCUCUCUUCCUCCCUCUUCUCUUGACGCCACCCUGUCCAUUAGCAUUCUCCAUUAUGCUUUUUCACAUGUAGAGGUGCUCGAUUUAGCCAUGAUCUGAGCAACGGCCAUCCUCUCACGGUUGCCAUUGGCAAUGGGUUAGGCGCAGAAUAUGUGGUAGUAAUGAAGAGACUGUAGAUGGCUGGCUCAUCAAACACGAGGGUGAUGGGAAUAUGGAGUCGGUGGUAGUGGUGGCAUUAUAGACAUGGUAGCCAUCAAAGGCACCACCACGGUUGCAGAGGAGGCUGUGGGUGGAGGUGGUGAUGUCGAUGGACUCAGGGAGGAAGUAGAUGGCAGGGUCAGAGAAGAUAUGAGGGAGAGGGAACUACGGAUGGAGCUUGUUGGAGGGAAGAUGGUUAGGUUUUAGGUGUUGAGAGAAACAAAGGAGGAGAGCUUGUUAAGAGAGGGAAGGGAGUAUAACUCAAAUACCUCCGUUCCCCACCCCAACCUCUGUCCCCCACCCCAACCUCUGUCCCCCAAUACCUCCGUACCAACCCCCCCCCCCCACCAGGGUGUCUGAUUUGUCAACUUCAAACUGGGAUUUGUUGGAUGCCAGUUUAGAUUUGUUUGCUUUUUCUGAUUGAGUCAUAAUUGAAGAAGGAUAGCUGGCCAUUUAGCACUAAUGAAAGGGAGUUGUGGCUGAUUGAUUGAUGGAUCUUGGAAUUGUAUGCAGAGUUUUUUAUUGAAAGAAAGAAAGCCAUCAGGUCUCCUUCCCUUCUUCCUUUUUUUUUCUUGCAUUUCUGUUCUGUACUUCUCUAGUCUUUUCUCUUAUCAUAUUCUCCCCUUCAACUACUCUUUCUUCAGUUAUCUUUCAUUCUUCACUUCUUUCUUGAUUAAAUUUAUUGCUUGCUUUGAUAUAAAGUAGUAGAUUAUUGCUGUUCUACAGGUCUGAGAUAAGAUCAGUAGUAUUUCUGCUGUGAAUCUCUCUUAUAGCAGGCUUCUAUGGAGCUGAUUUGUAUUAUAUAUCUCAGAUCAAUUUCAGAUUUGAAUCAAGCUUGCAGUAAAAUCAGAUUGUGAUAGGCUUUAAAAUCACAACGAGACUAUGUCACCUACAUUUCUCAAGCCUUUACUUUUUCGAAGCAAAUAUAAUGCUGAUAUCACUUUUGCAUGCUCAGUGCAUUUAUUCAGAAUACAAGUCCUAUUAAUUGUCACCACAAGCUUCUGCCAGAUGAUGGUGAACCUCUAUUUGAUCUGAUGCUAGUCAAAUUGUUGGUGGUUCUACCCGGUUAGAAGAUCUCUUGUUCAAUAGUUGCUUAUGCAGGCUGUAUAGCUGUUACUUUGUUGUGCCAAGACUUCUCUAUCCUUCCCAUUCGUCCCUCUCAUUGUGGUCUCAUUAUGUGGCCACUUAUCUUUCCUUCUUCUUUGGCACCUGAUUUUUAUUUUCUUUUUAAAAUCUGAACCAGGCUUCUGAUGUCAUAAACAUGAUCUCUUUGUUUCCUUGAUGAUUCUUUCAUCUCAUGCGAUGCUAGAACGAACUGAGUCUCUGAUUUGUGUGCCAAGGUGAAGUGUUAUGCCAUGGUGAGUACUUCCAUAGAGGUCACUUCGAUCUAUCAUCUAGUUCACAUCAUGAGGUCUCCCUUCUGUAACACUACCCUCCAUUAAAAUGCUGUUUAGAUACAAACCAGUGUAAAUGUGCAUACCAAGCAAAUUGAGAUUGAUUUUCAUGUUGGGGUUGGGAAUGGUUUGCGCUUUGGGCAAGGAGACCCUUGAGUGCCUCAACGCUCGGGCAAGGCAAGGAGACCUUUGAGUUCCUUAAUUGUCCUCGAGCGAGGGAACAUUACUGAGGCAACACGUAGGCUAGCAUCUCAAACAAAACGAGAGGCAUUCUGGUGAGAACCCCUCCAAUGUCUGGCAUUAUUCUUCUUUUCUCUUUUUUGCCUAUUUUUUUUAAAUUCUGUUAGCUUUGCUUUAAGGGGCAUCUUGGUCUAUUAGAGCCCUUAUAAUAAGAGGUUACUCUAAGAUGUUAUGUGAUUUAACUUUUUUUGUUCUGUUUAGAAACAUCAAAUAUGGUUUAGAAAGUGGUAUUUUAUUAUCAAAUUUGAAUUUUAAAGCUAUUUUAGGAUGUCCAGUGGUUUUAUUUUUGCUACCUUCUAUUUAGAAGCAUGUGGUUGAUGUGAUGUUUUAAAAGAUGUGGAGCAUUAUAUCCAAUGUUAAGACAUUUAUGUUUUAGGAUGUUGAAAUUGAAUAAUUAAUCUCAUGAUGUUUGUGUUGUUUUGGAUACAAAUAGCACUUAUUUCUAAUGCAUUUAUUUAACUUUUCAUGAAUUAGCACCUUAGUUUUUGUUUUAGGGGAGCACCUUUUGGCACCUUGCACCGUAAGCAAUAUGGGGUUCUGUUGCCUUAAGGGUGCCUUUUGCUUAUAACAACCUUGCAUGGCACAUGCUCCCGUUAUAAUAUGCAUUAUAUAUAAUCGUGCCCAUUAGCCACACUCUUCAAAUAUUCAUCAUUUGCUUCUUGACUAAUCUUGCCUUGUUACUAAAAUGCUAUCAGACUAGGUCUGGUAAAAUAGGUAAUGCCAUGAAAAUCCUAUUUUGUGCACACAAAUGGUUCUCCUGCCAUGUCGCGUGAGAAGAUUGGUGUAAAUUUGAAGAAUUAGUGCAAUAUGUGGGAUAGUUGAAUGUGAAGUUGCCAAGCUAGCAUAAGUGAGCCCAAGGUAUACUGAAUCGAUACCGAUAGGCGUACCGGUCGCCUACCGGACCGGUGCCGAACUGAUCCGCAUAACAAGCUCGUGGCGCGCUGUGGCGAACCGGUGCGAAUUGUCCAGUACGCAUCUAGUAUCGGCCGGUUCAAACUGGCUCUAGCCCGGUAUCACUUAGUUUCAGCCUCGUAGAGGCUAGAACCGUUUUUUAAGACUAAACCGGACUAAUCAGAGACCGGACCGGUUCGGUACGGGCUGAACCGGCUAGUACGGGCCGAUUCAGCAUACCUUGAGUGAGCCCAAAAAACUUUUUGCUCUAUAGCAUUUUCCUUGUAAAAUAAUGUGCCCUUGGAAGGGCAACCUGUUGUUUAAUAUAGUCAAGGAGCCAAGGUAGCCCUGACUGCAACAGUCAUAGAUAAUUUACCCAAACUCCAUGCAUGCAACUUUAAUAUUUUUAUGCACAUCUGAUAAGCUCAACAAUUCAUGAUUGUUGCAGAAUGCGUGCAAGAAGCAUAUUAGUCUCUCCAAAUUAUUCCAGCGCUUGGGUUUGAGAUAGCUGUUGGGUCUCAGUGAUCUUACAAGACCACUUUUAAAAAUUCUUGGUAAUAAUUGGACAUUCAAAAGAUUAACAGAAACAUACGGGCAGCCAUAGAGCAGGAAAAUGAGCAUUUGUUAUUUUACAGCAAUGAGUAAUGUAAUUCCUAUAACUGUGUCUCUUGGUUUGACUUUUCGGCGACACUUUGAAUGUUAAACCGAGUGUUUUUCUUGCUCAUUUUGGUGGUUGAAUGCUAAACUUUCGAAGUUUUGAACAUUGACAUUUCUAGGGUUACUUCAUUAUCUUUAAAAUUUUAUGAACUAUAAAUAUUUAGUGAAAUAAUUUGUAAUUUUGCCAAUUUUGCUAUAUUUCAGGAUGAGGAAUUAUACAGACACUGCCAAUUUCACCUUGCGUUGCGGGGUGUGCCAAAUUGGUGUUGUUGGUCAACAGGUUACUAUUUCUUUCAGAGAUUCAUCACCCUUUCUCUCUUCUUUUUCAUUUUGAUGUCUGAACCUUGUGUUCAUUUUGACAUGCAGGAGGCUGUUGAACAUGCCCAAGCUACAGGUCACUUUAAUUUUCAGGAGUAUCAGUAAAGUAUGGAACUUUUAUAUAAAAACCAGUCUCUGUAACUGAUUCCUGCCCAUUCAUUUCAUUCCUGUGAUCUCUUAUUUGGGCCAGAGGAAAGAAAGGUUGUAUGGUUGAAUUCAUUAGAUUGAGUUUGUCAUUGUAAUAAUUAGAAGUCAUCUGGUCUUUGUUGGAAGCUUCUUUACGGGACAAAAGAAAACAAAAUAGUGCGGCAAGCAUUCCAUGUUUGAUAACAGGUGACAGGGAGUUGGUUGUAGUUUGGUUUUGGUUAAAAUGAAUCAUUUUGCUCUACUAAUUGUGAAUUAAGUCUAAUGUGUUUGAUUCGAGAAUCAAUAAUGUUUCAGAAAUGCAGUGCAUAAAUAAAAGAGUUGCUGGAUGUUUUGGUUACAGCAUAUAGCAUUUUCAUGGUGAACAGACCUAUUUAUAUUAGAAGAUUUGAUUGUUUGCAAUGCCUUGCUGCCCCAUGGAUCUCCAUUAGUAGAAGCAUGUCGACAAUGCUUCAAUUUUUACAUUCCAUCACGGGUGCAACUGGGGUUGAGCUAAUGACAGUUUGGUACGGGCUUGCCAGUGUUUGUGUACCUGCCUUGGAGAUGGAUUGGGUUGAAAAUUGCUGACCAAAUUAAAUUUCAAUUUGUAUUUAUGUUGAAGACUUGUGAGUGGGCUGCAACUCAAAAUGAACUCCGUUCCCGUAUAACCUUAUUGCUCGAAUCCCCUAUAACCUAAAACUAUGUGAGUAGUGCCAACCAAAAAAAAAUACGAUGUGAUCUGAAUUGUACUGUAGAUUGAAUACCAUAGCAUUAUUGUUCAAUAAGUUUUGUCAAGGACGGCUGCCUUCGGGUUAGCAGCGUCGGCAUUGACUGCUUAACAUUUAGUUCGGCUCGACAAUACCGUGGAGGUUAAACAUGGGUUGGUUUUGUGCCGUUUGGCAUCAUUUUUUUUUAUUUUAUAAAAAUAGAAGUUUUAUUUUUUAAAUUUUUAAAAUUAUAAAUAUGUUUGGUAUUGUCAAUUAUUAAUAUGAUUAUGAUAAUAAAGGCAGCGGUAAUAGUAAUGGAGGUGGUAGUAGUCCUUGUGGCAAGGCUCGGUAGCAGGAAGGGGAUGGUGGUGUAAUAGAGGCUAUGACGGUGCUGACACCAACGAUAUAGUAGAGUCGAUGACGAUGACAAUUAUAUAAUCGAAAUAGUGAUAAGAGGGCCAGCAACUACAACAGUAGUGGUGAUUGCGGAGGCGUCAGCGAUAUGACGAAAGCAGCAACACUAGAAGCAAUAGUAUGGCGGUCGUGGAGGCAGCAAUUGUAGCGGCAAGGGCGGCGGGGAUCAAGCUAAAAGCAGUAUUGAUGAUUGUUGUGGGGACGGCCUUUGGCCGGAGCCUCACACAACAGCAUAGCCCAUAUUAAGCUAGCAGAGAAAAAGAACUGUAUUCCUUCCAAGGUAUUGUCCGCUUUGGGCGCUCCGGCCCGCGCGUCCAGCGCAGACGGAGGGAGACUGGUGCCCUCACGGUUUUGUCCCACAAAAGAGCCCUCGAGAGGAAAGGAUUUCCACUUUCCAUUUAAGGCACAGAACCUUUCCGCGACAGNNNNNNNNNNNNNNNNNNNNNNNNNNNNNNNNNNNNNNNNNNNNNNNNNNNNNNNNNNNNNNNNNNNNNNNNNNNNNNNNNNNNNNNNNNNNNNNNNNNNNNNNNNNNNNNNNNNNNNNNNNNNNNNNNNNNNNNNNNNNNNNNNNNNNNNNNNNNNNNNNNNNNNNNNNNNNNNNNNNNNNNNNNNNNNNNNNNNNNNNNNNNNNNNNNNNNNNNNNNNNNNNNNNNNNNNNNNNNNNNNNNNNNNNNNNNNNNNNNNNNNNNNNNNNNNNNNNNNNNNNNNNNNNNNNNNNNNNNNNNNNNNNNNNNNNNNNNNNNNNNNNNNNNNNNNNNNNNNNNNNNNNNNNNNNNNNNNNNNNNNNNNNNNNNNNNNNNNNNNNNNNNNNNNNNNNNNNNNNNNNNNNNNNNNNNNNNNNNNNNNNNNNNNNNNNNNNNNNNNNNNNNNNNNNNNNNNNNNNNNNNNNNNNNNNNNNNNNNNNNNNNNNNNNNNNNNNNNNNNNNNNNNNNNNNNNNNNNNNNNNNNNNNNNNNNNNNNNNNNNNNNNNNAUUUCUAUAUUUUAAAACUUUGUUAUUUUUAUUUUUAUUCAUAUUUUAUAUUCUAGUUACCAUAUUUCUUUCUUAUUUUAUUAUUUUGGUAUUUUAAUUAGGCAUGCUAUUAUUUUUUAUAUUAUUUAUUAUUUUGAUUCUUAAUGAAGUUUGUAAUACUUAUUUUAUUUAUUCUUAUAUUUAAUAUGAUUUAGUAUUUUUUUUAUUUAUAUUUUUCUCCUGCAUGAAUUUCAUGAUGCUCAUCUACUAAUAUAUAUAUAUAGAGACACACACACACACACACAUACAUACAUAAUUUUUAAGUAGCAAGUAUUAUAAAAUUACAGUGCAAUUUACUUUGUAUUAAAUUUCUUUCCCAAUAAAAUAAUAUUUUGAAACUUAAAUAUUCAUUAAAUUAUUUGUCUAAAUUUUAUACCAUAAGUGUCACUAGUUGACUUAUGUUAAGUAUAUUAUUCCGUCAUCUAUAUUAUAAUUGUUGCUAUUAGUUUAUACUAAAAAUUCAUUUAUUCGCACUCUUGUAAGAAUUACCAUCCAUUUAACAGUGGAAUCACCAUUCAUUUAUUUGAAGAAAUUCAAUUCUGAAAGAAUGUGAUUCAAUUCUAGCGUCUAUUUUAGAGAACCUAGAGAGGCGUAAACUUCCUUCCAUUUUCUAUCAUCUGCCUUGGUCUCUUCAUUUAUUUCCUUUCUAUGAUAUAAAGUUGACCUCUGGUUUGGCUUACAUGUCUUCGCUAUCUCAUUAGUUUGAUGAUCAAUAAAUGGCAAAUUACGAAAAGGGGUCGAGAAAGCUAUCCAGAUUAGUAUCAAACUUCUUGUAGAAUAUUUUUCAGGGGUAAUAGGCAUAAUUCACUCCCAGCCACCAUGACAACAAAUGUUCUACUAAAAACUUCUUGUAAAAUUUGUUGGCCCAAAGUCGAUCAACAAAUUUUCCGGCCACCAUGACAUGUCAUCACUAAAAAGAUCCAACACAGCUUAACUGGUCAAAGGUGUUAAUGCAUUAAAAGUACUGAUCCCAAAUCUAAUUUUUCUACUUUAACAACAUAUACAACAUGCUAUAAUUCAACAAAACUCCAUACUAGCUGCCUAAUGCAGUAAGGUUACACCACAAAGUUGCAGUUGAUGGAGCCAAGAGACUCCCACCGGAGAAUCAAAGGCAUCGCAUCAGCAUAAAACAUGGUAGCAAAAGUAAAUGUAGCCAGCCCACAAGGCAGACAAUGUCUUCAGAGACCCCAGCAAUGUCGAUAAAGUCUGCCUCAGUGAAGAAAAGAUAUGUUCUUUGUUGCUUGAAUCCGGUCUCUGAUGAUCAGGUGUCACCCCAUAAGUUGGAUUCAUAGAUUCCAGAGUAAUGGUGACGCUAAAUUUUUUGUUGAAGGACAUGCCGCAGCUGAAUCUUUUGGCUCUCCAUCCUUGCCUCCAAAAGCUUCACCUUCAAGCUAUGCUUGUGCGCACCUCGUGGCCAUUCAAUACAUCCUUUCAUCCUUCGAGAUAAAUGAGGAUUCGGGGAGUCAGGGGAGCUCCAGUGACCCAUGCUUGGUGGGCUAAGACCUACCUCACCUGAUCCCCUGUUGGGAGAAAAGGUUCCAUUGGAGUUAUUUCCAUUCGACAGCCUUCCAUUUGUUAAUUCAACUGGUAUCAUCUUGCAAUUUUCACCGUUGUUUGGACAUGAGGAUCUCCAUAGCCUGGAUAUGGAGGAUACAUUUUUUCUUGGAUGUCUUCUGUUUUGAACAUCACCGAUUUCAUUAUUUAGCUCGCCAUCAACGCCAUUCUCCUCCCAUUCUGUUCCACUGGAUGAUGCAUUACUUUCUUCAUAAAUCCCUUUGACCGAUGGAACACUCCCUUCUGGUGAAUUUCUUAAACUCUGCUCCUCAUCAUGACUCAGUGUUUCCCAACCACUAUCAUCUUCCUUACCACCAUUUGUAUCUAUUGCUCCAUUUGCGCAUUGCAUAGUUGCUUUUUCUAAGAACACAUCAGUCUCAGCAUUCGCCAUGUGGAUUUUGGAGGCAUGGCUGCUCGGCCCAUAUCCAGAGCAUGGUACUAUCUCUCUUUCAUUGAUUUCUUCUCUCGGAUGGUGCUCUUCGAAGACUGAACGGAUGUCCUCCGAGGCAAGUGGAGGGUGGAAAGUGAACCCCUUGAUCUCUUGGAGCAUAACUGAGUUGGCUUUUAUUUGGAGCGAAGCCGCAGCUUCUAUCGCUGCAUUGUCUGAGUUUGCAGCAUUUUGUGCUUUCAGGAAAGCCUCUAUAUCCUUUUGUAGCUUGCUCAACUGUGAAUACUUAUCUUCCAGAGUGAUCUUUGCAUCUAUGAGCUUCAUCUGAACCCUCUCCUCUCGCCAUACCUCAGCCAUCUGUAGCAUCCUCCUCUCCUCUUCCACUUCCUCUCGGAUCCUCAUGGAUUCUCUCUUCAUGGCUUCAACCUCAGCUCUGCCCUCUUCGAUCUCUUUUGCCAGUUCAUUGCAAAUCUCUUCUAUGAGCUCACGAGCCUUCCGUUCCUUCUCAUAGUCUUGCAAGAGUCGUUUCACAGAUAACUUAGCCUCUGCAAGUUCAUCGACCAGCCUGGAAUUCACAAUCUCCAUCCGCUGCCAGUUUUUCUUCUCUCUGUUGAAGUCAUCCUUCAUGCCAUCAAUUAUAGCCCGGGCUUUCUCAUGCUCUCGGCUCCUCCACAAUGCCUUCUCCUCUGCAAGCUUGCUCAAGAAAUGAUCAAGUUUUUUCUUCGCUGAUUGUCGUUCUGUCUCAAGCUCACUAAUGCGGUCAUAAGCCUGCUUAAGCUCUGCCCGGAGAGUAGAAACAACGGAAACUGCAGUCACCUGAUUGCCUUCAAGUAGAUUCAAGUGACCACAGAACCGAUAGAGCUCAUCUGAUGCUUUUGAGCUCCCAGGAUCCCAUUUAGUUGCCCUCUCCAUAGCAGAGCUAGGCAACGCAGCAGAAGGUUUGAGCUAAAUAAAAAUAUGAUCAAAAGGGUCAGAUGCAACUAACAAAUAUAAUCAGUUUCAAUGUCUUAACAUGAAAUUAGGAUUACCUUGUUCGUAUCGCCAUUCUUCAGAUCCAAUACCGAAAUAGGACUCAUCAACUCAUUCUUCGCAGUAGUAUGGAGAUUUGUGCUAUCUGGUUUACAAAGUGAUGAGACUUGCAGAUGGCCAGGAACAGGCUGCAUGCAAGAAACACCCAAACAAUAAACGACCAACAUUUAGACCAUCCUUGAAGGCUGAAGAAAGUGUCAAUAUAUGGACCACCAACACUGCAACCAACUGUCAAGAACAACUGGUAGGGCCGCAUGAAGUCCCAGUUGAUCUUUGAUGUCAUCAGAGUGAUGACCAAGACUCUGCUUGAUUCGAAUGGAUCAGAGAUUUGUAAUUACCUUGUGUUAGAAUUUAAUGCAAUUGAAAUGUGCAUGUAAAAUUCCAUCCACUAUCAAUCGAUAAGAUUCUGACAACUGUUCAGAUUUCAGAUUUCUAGAAUUGAUGCAACUGAAUGUAUGUAUAAGAUAACCAGCCGUCCAGGUUGGUCCAAUGGCACAAAAUUAAGAACAAAUCAACCCAUUUUUUGUUUUCUGUUGGGUGGCUGAGAAGAACAGAUCCCCUUUAUAGAAAAUAAACUUCACAGGUUAGAGAUUUCACGCAUUUAGGGCCUGUUUGUCAUUGUCCUUGUUUUCAGUGUAUUUAUUUCUCAGCAAAUUAGUGAAAUGCCGCAUGGAGGUUGAUGUCGAAGAUAGCAUUUGCAUUAAAACUUCUGUUAGCCCUUGCUUUUUCUUUCAAUCUUUUCUGAAGUUCUGAAGAUUUUACAAACAAUUACAGCAAACAAAAGGGUUUCAUCACGCAUGUUAUUUAGUCUAGCUUAUUUUAUUUCUUGGGUUUCUUGAAACCAGAAACAGAAAACAAAAGCAACAUCAAAUGGGCCAUUGGCUAACAAGCUAAGCAUUUUUCUGUCAAAUUCCAUUCGGUGCACAAAAAAAUAAGGAGACAACUACUUGUUUUUUUCCUGGGAGUCUGAAAGGAAUUUUUUCAAAUUUCAAGCGAAGUAAAAAAAAAGUCGAUUUUGAACCGAGUGUGUGAUAAAAACGCCAACUUUCUUUUGAAAAAAAAGAAACCCUAGAAAGAGGAGGAGUUCAAAAAGGAACAGAUCUCGGAGUUUCCUACCUCAAGUGCUACCCGAGCUCGCCUUGUUUCCCCUCCGCCACCGCCGCCGCUAACUUGAGGAGGCCACAAAUGCCAGAUCCCGGCAGCGAUCUUCCUCACCGAGACGGGCGGUGCCGCUCCGGCAGCAGUCUUAGCCCUCCGGCGGGGCUUCCCGGAGGAUUCCUGCAGGGGCUUGGUGGAAUGAUCCGCGUCGUCGAACUUCCACCGGAGGAGGGGAGUGGAGGGACCACUUCUCCGACCACCUAAGCCGGCGCCGCCCUUCCUUGGGCGGGAUCCGGCAGCCGAAGGAAAUGCCGCGUUGCUGACUCGCCGGCAUGGGCGGGGCUUCCUGGUGGGAUGGAGUUCGGAGUCCGGCGGCGAGGCCAGGGUUUUGGGGGAGAGCAUCGCCCGGUUCCUCGCUGGGAGGAAGCCGCCGCCGGCGAAACUCGUCAUAGUCUAUCUUCUACGGCGUCACUCCGACAGCAUUAUACAAGAGCGGGGGAGAGAGAGAGACUGCGCGUGUGUAAACGGUAGCAGCAUGGAGGGCUGGAGACGUACUCGGAUUGGGUGAGAUGGAAAAUGCAAGAGAAUCUUAGAAUUGUUUCCAAAAAUACACGACGGUGCGCGCUUGCAAAUUAGGGAUUUGGAUGAUUUGGGCUCUGGAGAGGGCGCGCUGGAAUCAGAGCAGGUACCAAACAAAGCUGGAUGCCGAUUUCUUGGUUGCAUGUAUUUAGAAACUAUGGAUUUGGUUCGAAAACCUAUUUUUAAUGAAAAAUAUGGUUUAAGCUGAUAUGUUCAUUAGGUUGGACUUAAAAAUAAUUAAUAGAAAAUAAUUUCUUAAAAGGGUUGUAAUGGGAGUUUUUGAUGUGUGUUAUUUAAGCUUUUAAGGAAACUUCUCUCUGAUUUAAAAUUCUAAUGGAGCACUCUUCCUAACAGCCUCCUCAUCUGAUUAAUGCAGAAAUUUUAAAUUUUAACAAUAAAGUUCUAUUUUAGAUAAUAAUAAAAAAAAUGAAAAAUAUCAGAUAUUAGGGGGAUUUAAAAUUUUUUAGAUGGAGAUCUAUCUAUAAUUAUGUCUUGCAUAUAUUUUUAAAUUUCUUUAAAUAUGCAUUCCACGUACUUGUUUGCCGGUGUACAUAAAUAUAAAUAUGAAUACAAUUUGAAAUUAUUUUUUGGUUUAAGAUAUUAGUAUAGUGGUAUCUAACAUCCAGUGAGUUUAUCAACUAAACUAGUUGACACUCUUAAUACAAAUAUAAAUAUAUAUUUUUAAUUAUCAAUAUAUAAUAAUUAUAAUAUAUUUAUAUUUUUUAUUAUAAUUGUAUGGUUAUGCUCGAUUUCUUUAUUAAUUGACAAGCUUUUGCUAGUUGUUACUCCAAACUUAAAGCCAUUAUGUUUAUUAUAUCUUAUUUAAUUGUAUACAUAUUUGAAACAAAAAAUUAUUCCAAGUACAAGCUUCGGCAGUCCAAGUGGCUUAAAGAAAUGCAAUAAAUUUAUAUUUAACAAUUUAAAGCAAAGGCAUAAAUCAUAAUAAAUAUGCUUAAUUAAAGAUUUUGCAAGCAACAUAAAUAUGAAAAAUAUAUCUCUAAGUAAGUAUUACAUGAUAAUCCAAGUUUAAAAAUAAUCUCUUAAGUAUCUCAUGUUUUAUUUUAUUUUUAAAAAUACUUUAUAUUUUUAAAAAUAAUUUUACAUGUUAUGAUAUGAUUGGUUGGGAGAUCUUUGGACACGAAUCUGACCCAACGGCUAGAAGUCAAGUUUUGCUGACCUGGACCUGGCCCAGAUGCUCAGGGGGCGUCGUGGUACCGUGUUGGAAACAAAAGUACUGGUACCUGUCUAGACAUCAUUAGUGGAUAAGGCUGUAUGCUGUUCUUGAACUCGGUAUCCGAGGGAAAGGGAUCCAAGGUGGGGAGGGGAGCGGCUCCCGAGGUCGCUGCAAGAACCAUCGGAGAUUCUACGCUGUCGAUGCGCCACGUCAGCACAAACAGCCGCUAGGCGACGAAAUGGCGUGAGGAGGAGGGUGGGCGCGUGGGGAAGUAUUGGCAGUGGCGUGGGCCCCACCUCGAUUGCUCCAAUCGGUUAUUGCUGUAACGGCUAAGAUCACUAGAUCCUGUUCGAAGUUGGUCGAUUAAUGAACGGGUCCGGUUUGCAUCUUUGGCGCGAAAGAAUUUUAGAUCGCGCUCGGAACAGCACUCAAAGCACUCCGAACGACCUUGGUAGGAUGAUUGCAGCUGGAAAGCGGCGCAUGCCAGGACUCACAGUAGUUGGAGCAGAGCUGCGGGCUGCUUGGAAGGGUAUAUCUUAUGUAUGGGAGGUACUAGGUGUGGAGCGAGUCUGCCUCGAGGAAGACUCAUCUGUGAUUAUCGACCGGCUCUGAAGGACAGAUCGGUUUGGAGAUGGUCAUCCCCUCAUCCGAGAGACUCGUAGGAUAAUCCAGUUGAUGGGUGAUGUUCAGAUUGGACACGUGUUUAAGAAGACGAACAGGACAACAGACUGGGUCACCUCCUUGUUGCCCGGCAUUUCGGGAAUUUUUUUUGGACGUCUGCAUCAGACGUCCCUCAUCCUUUGUAUCUUUUACUUUCCUGCGAUCUAGCACGUUGUACUCGCGUUAAAGUUAUAUGAAAUGAGUAGCCGCUUUUAUCCAAAAAAAAAAGCACUCUGAACGACUCUUCCCAUCCGCCGGCACAGAACCCGGAGUGACUGUCCGCCUUUUAAACUCCUAUAUUUUAAACACAUGUGAAUUGAAUAAUAUCCAUUUAGAUUUAAUUAUAUAUUUACAAUUAUUAAAAUAUAAAUAUAAAUUUGAGUAUUCAACUAAUAUUUAUAUUUAUUAAAAAAAGGUUGUGAAUAUAAAUAGACAAUCAUCCGAUCCAUAUCUGAAUAUACGAUUUUUUUUAUAAUUUUAUUUUAUUUUAUAUAACACUCAUAAAAUUUUAAAAAAUAAAUAAUCAUAUUAACAUGCUAUUAAUUUGAUUGAUUAUCUACUUAGUUAUAUCUAUUAUAAAGAUUAAUUAUUCAACUUAUACGUUAUAUCCAUAUUUAUAUUUAUAUUUUUGGUUUUUUAAAAUAAAUAUGAAUAUGAAUUUUUGUACCAUACUCGUUAGUGGAUAUGGAUAUUCUAACCGAAAGCCUCCCUCAAAGGACCAAGCAAGCCGUUCUUUCAUCAUCUUCAAAUGGAAAAUAAUGCUGAUCGUAAGUUAUCGGGGGAUUAGUGGUCUCCCCUUCCAAACAGCCUCUAAAAAAAACAGAGAUUUAUUAUUUCAAAACUAGGAGAAUAAUAUAUUUAGAAGUAGAAUAUAAAAAUACAGAAUUUAAAAAAGAAGUUGUUGCUUGCAAGACCUACUUAAGAAAAAUUUUUUUGAAAAAACAGGGUCCCAUGAUCGAAUUAAAGCAUGUUAAGCCGAUAAGGCUGAUCGGUAAGUAGUGCAGCAUUUGUUCUGAAAACAACCAUCUGCGAUUCAUUAAAUGGUAAUAACAUGAUGUUGGUGCCCCCAGCAAUGUUGGAUUUUUGUUAUUUUAAAAUAAGAUUUGCUUGAAAUGAAUAUACUACCAGUUGGGUGCCGUAAUAGGUGAAAGGCAGUUACAACUAUAACUGCAUAAAUGCAGUUUCACUCCAAGAGGUGCCGGUAGUUUUCACAACCUUUCACACUCUAUAAAAGACACCCUUCUCAUUCAAAACAGGAGAGAUAUUAUCAUUAUUUUCUAUCUAUUUGCUGUUACUUUGAUCUCUAGUUCAGUUCGAAUUCCAGUUUUUUGCAACCCGUAAUUCGAAACAGAGCAGUCUUGUAUCCUGAAAACAAUAUUGCUGUGGUUAUCCCUAUUGCAAACUAGAGAGAGGCAAUAAUUAUUUGAAAGAUAGAUUUACAGUCGCCUACUGCUCUACGGUGAAGCCAUUUCCCACUCUUUUUCUAACAAGCAGCACAUGCAAAUCAUUUUGUACAGUAAAACAUUCCGUCUUAGCUGCAUAAAAAAUUUGCAAACAGUUUACGUUGAAGCUUUCCUUGGUCUCAUUCAAAAGGAAAGAAAAAGGAGGUUUUCUUUGGUCCAGUAUGCAUACCAAGCCAUAAAACGACGGAUAAAAGCUCUUAUUUUUUUUCGGUCAGUGAAGUUUCAAAGCUAUAAAUUUCAACAAAAGACUUGCGCAUUAGUCGUUCGACUCUUCUGGUGUUAUUCUCACAGUUCGCGAAAGCUCAAGGUUGGAUGCUCGCUUUUAUCAUAGGCUGGCAUGGAAGUUUGUUCUCAAGUCAAGCCUACCCCGAGUGGAAAAUUCCCUCGAAGCAGGAUGCAUUCAAACGGAGACCGCGAUGUCUUCCCCCACUUGCAUGGAUUUUUGAGUUACUAAAGCGCUCGUCGACCCGGUCAGCACUUUAAUUUAGAGGAGGAAUGGGUCUAUGAUGACCUCGGCUUACGUGGUUGAAGACUAUAUAUGCUUGGUGUCUUGUCUCAUGGAAAUGUUUGAUAAACUUUUGUUUGAUGGACCCUACAAGAACGGGGGAGAUGCUUUGACCGUAAUGAUGCGAAAAAUGCCUCAAAAAGGAGUAUUCUCUUGAGUGGUUUCUCUUUACUGUAGUCAGCUGAAUGGCUUUUUGAGUCGCAUUUUGAGUUACUGAAGCAAUUUUGUUAACGCUGCCUCUCGUAUUCUUAUAGGGUCCAUCAAAUAAUAGCCUCUUGGGAGGGAUAGAUUGCCCGUGAAUACUGGGUUCUCUGCUUUCUUUUGAAAUGAAACAUAUUUACAAAGAAGCCUACAGCACUACUGAUUAAGUUGAGGCUUAUAUCGCCAACUAUACUGAGACUACAUUAUAAAAGUCCACGAAUUAAUAUUUAUAAGUAGUUAAUAAUAAAUUAAUAAGUGCAAGGAAUGUAGAACUAACAUCUCCCACUCAAUUUUUGAAUACCCAAUAUUUCGAUUCCAUUGGAUGCAUCAAGACAAGAAUGGUAUAUGUGAGGAUCAUACGGGUAUAUAUUCAAUUUCAUAUCGGCAAUGCACUAAAUAGAUCUUGAGUAUAUAUAUACCAAGUAACUCUAAUAAUAUUUUUUUGGAUAAGAUUUUAGUUUGCUACAAAAUGAAUCCGAGUAUUUAUAAUUGCAUUUAAAUGGGUUUGAGCUGACACAGCCUCCGAUCCAAGUCAUCCAACGGACAAGACGCCACCCUUGGUCUUCAACAACGUAAGCCAAGGUCAUCAUAGACCGGUUCCCACACUACAAAGUGCGGACUGGGUCCUUCCCCUCAUUUUCCAACGUGGCUAUGGAAAUUUUUCAAGCAAUCCAACAUCAGAUGUUGACCUCUCUGACCCAUUCCCUAAGACGCAGCCCCAUCACCUACUCCUCUCUCUCUCUCUCUCUCUCUCCCCCUCUCCUCAACUUAUCUUCCCGUGUAUAAAUACAAUGCAUCAAAGUGGCUGUGCCUCAUCUUUGCCAACAAGGAGAAAGUUGAGAAGAACAUAGGAAGGAAGGAAGGAAAGAAGAGGAGAGAAGGGUAAAAGAAAAAGAGAAUGGGGAACUGCCUCAACCUUCGACGAGCAAAGAGGUCCGACGGUGGAGAGAUGGACGACAUGGCGUUCGACAGUCCCUUUUGCUGCCAGGAGGGGAAGAAUCGAGCAGUUUCUUCUUCGGUGGUGAAGAUUAAGAUUACAAAGAAGCAGUUGGAGGAAUUGUUAUGGCGAGCCGACAUGGAAGGGUUGCCGAUCCAGCUGCUCCUAAGCCAUCUCUCGGAAGAGAGCGAUGCUGGUCGUUGGAAUCGGAAUCGGCCAUGGAGACCAACCCUUCAGAGUAUAGCAGAGGUGGCGGAGUAGAAAUGAAUGGUGGCCCUGGGGAUGUUUCCAACCAUGUUUGAGUAGUAGCUGUUUCCAUGUUUCUGGUUCUCUUAGUCUCUGCAGAGAUGUUUGGGUCAUUUGAGCUUUUUUUUUUGUACAGAGUAGAAUAGAAGUGAGGUGGCUUAGCCCACCAGAAGAGAGCUCAGGAAGCUAUAGAAAAAUCCUAAUUGCAGCUGUAACCCGCACACCAUUCUUUGGGCUAGUGAUAGUGGUUAAACAUGAAAAUAAUACUGUUCAUUAAAGGGGAAAUCUUUCAGUAUUUUCACUUCUAGCUAUUCACCAUCCACAACCACACCCCACACCUCUCACACACGCCAAAAAAAAAAGGGGAAAAGAAAACAACAACACAAAUUCUGGAAAGAGAGCAAUUCAUGCCUACCAUAUCUAAUUAUGGACUGCAAAAUUAAAAUUUAAGUUAUAUAAAUUUAAACAUUUCUUUCUAAAAGAAUUUUGAAUGUGCAUCACUUAUGCACCAAAUGCUCCUGAAUUUGUAGUUUAGCUAUUCAAAGAUCGCUAAUAUGCUCCAGUCCCUUUGGGGCUUAUGAAACGUAGUAAAAUCUUUGGAAUAAUGAACUUGAAUUGCAAAGAACAAUAUAAGUAUUUGUAAUCAAUAUUAACAGCACACUAAUACAAGAUCAGAAAUUAUUUUUGAGCAAAUCUACAAGGUACCUCAAUCUUUUCCAAGUCUAUUGAUUCGUACUGGGUUCAGUUCAGAUGAAAAAUAAUCAAGAAAUUGAUUAUUAUGGUGAACAUCAAAAGAAUUCAAAUUAGCAUAAAGAUAAUCGACUUUUAGGCCAACUUGAUCAAUUGUGUUACGGUAAGUUGUUGGUUUCUUUGCAUAAAUCAUGUAGCAACCGGUAUGGAUGGGAAAAUAUCUCAACUCAGGCAUCACGAACUGACCGAACAGAUGAAAGAGUCAAUAUUUGCCGGCAUAACUUUUAUUUAUUGAACUACAAUUUUUUGACAUGACUUGAUAGAGUGAAAAUAAGAUUUCAUUAUAUUCUACAUUAUAUUCUUAAAGAAGAAUUAUUUUUUAAAAUUAUCUAAUAAUAUAACGCCCAGCUGUGCAAAAAUUUUAUAUUCUAAACCUGCAGUUUACCUCCUUUUGUCCGUCUGCGCCACCCUAUUAAAAAGUUCUGUUUGCCUCUCAUUAAACAAAGUGGAAAAUGUCAUGAGUUGAGCAUAAAAAGUUGGAGAGAAGAAAUAACCAACAGGGAGUGUUUAGGUACGUGCCAAAUGGAAUAUCACUUGAUCUCCUGAUACAAAGAGCAUAUCAUCAUUUCAUCACGGUACAAACAAGACGGAAAAAAAGAACCUUAUGUCAUAAGUUGAGCAUAAAAAGCUGGACAGAAGAAAUAACCAACAGUUGUAUUUAUGUACAUGCCUUAAUGGAAUAUCACUUUAUCUCCUGAUACAAAGAGCAUAUCAUCAUUUCAUCACGAUACAAACAAGACGGGAAAAAUGAACCUGACAAGAGAAACAAAACACGCUUCGGAUUCAUUUUUGCGCAACAGGUACCUCUACAGGAGGUAUGAUGCUUGGAGUUGGUAUCAGUGCCAACAUUUGGUUCUUAAUUAUGCCCAUACAUGUCUCUAUCUCCCUGUAAAUUGGAAGGUUCUGUGGACAACAUGGCUGAAGACUUGUGACUGCAGAAUCAAGAAUCUGUGCAAUCUCGGCAGGUGGGUAUUGUCUCUCGGUGCAGGUCUGUUCGACAACAAUGACAAACUUUAGGAGACAAAAGGUAUACAAAAUAACCCGUAUAUUAACAUAGCAAUGGCAAUAAUAUACAGCGAGGAGCAUUGACCCACUCAAAUGAGAGAAAUCAAGCAAUACUAGAAUCCAUGUAUAAACUACUUGUAAUAUUAACACAGAGAGUAGAUAAUUAUUGCAUAGUUGCAAUAGUUAGAUCCUUAGGGAUAUGUCAAUUUGUCCAGAAAUGUUCAAGACUUCCAACUUCCAAAUAUCAUAUCGAGUCAUUUCCAAGUGGCCGUAUGUGUUAGCCCUCCAAAGUUUCCAAAAUACUGAUGCUUAAUGCAGACUUGAAUUGGAAUUGGAUCUUAAAAUUAUAUGCUCUUUUUUCUUUGGCUCAUCAUCAAAUACAUGCUGGGACCCUUACGAUAAAGGAAAAGGCAUAUCUGCUUUAUGGUGUCUAAAUUAAGUUGUAAAUAUUCAUAUCGGACCAUAAAUGGGAAAAAAGACACCGAUGUCCCUCUGCAUUAAUGUUUUUGCACUUCUGGAUCUCAUUUAACAUAUAUACACACACACACACACACAUACACACAAACACCCAUACUGGAAUAUACAAAACUUUUUUGAAUGAAUUCAAAAGAAAAAUUGCUCUAGUACUAACAGGCUCGAUAACCAAAUAAAAAUCGCUACGACAAUAUCGCUCUUACGAAAUGAGAAUUUUGAUAUUGAUUAUCAACGGCUUCACAAAAUUUGUUAUGAGAAUACUUCUAUAUGCUGGAUCAAAUAAAAUGGGUAACUGAAAUUUUUUAGUAUCAGUUAAGUUAUAUCUCCUUAGGGGAGAUUCAAAGGCUAUUUCAUUUAACCUAUGGUGUAAACUUUCAAGUUAUGCACUAGAAUGUGCCUUAGAAAGUUAGAAUAUAAGAAUUUUAAAAAGAUCAAGAGUCGCAGGCAAGCUGAGUUCCGAUCAAGAGUUCUAUGUCACACAAGAGAUUAGAGAUGGACGAGUUUCACAUACCAAUCUUCAAAAUUUUAAAACAUACAGCCAUAUGACAACCACCACAGAUUAUACGGGUGUGUGUUGAAUAAUAAUAUAAUUUCCAAGAGAGUUUACCUGUAUCAUGAGCAAUGUAGCGACACAUGAUGAAAUCAGAUCUGAUGGAAGUUGGAUCUCUGAAUCAGAAGAAAUAUGGGGUUUUGGACUAGCAUGAACUGUUGCCUCAGACAUGCAUGAUGUUGUAUGAUCUUGAUAUGCUGAAAUGCCAUGUCCUGGAUCUGGAGGAUUGCGUCUUACUCCAAAUACACCAGAAACAGGUCCAGAAAUGCGGUUGUUAGCAGAAUCUAAAGCCUCUCCAAUCUUAACAAAAGCAUCUUCUCCUUCUUUCAAAGCACACAUAGCCUGAGAAGUGUAUCAAGACAAAUGCAUACUCUUAGAUAUUCUUUGGAACUAUAAAUUUGACAAACUACAGAGAACUUGUUCCCAGAAAGCAAGCAUCUAAAACAGGCUAAGAACUGAUAAUUGGUUCUACGUUUGUUAGACUAAGAAUACCACUGAAUUCUGAAAUUCCAAACACUGAACCAACAUAAGAGACAAAAACAUAAAAAACCUGAUACAGAGAAAUGAUGAUGGUCAAACCCACCUGCAUAGCAGCAUCAACUACCGUUCUUGCUUUCCGCCUUGAACUUUCAACAAUCUCAGCUACAUGAGAUCCUGAAUCCUGAUUGAGAAAAGCUGAUGGAUUGCAAGAGUCUGGAGGUCCAGCAGCCCCCCCUGAAUUCUCAAUGGAUCUAACCCAUGCAUGUGUUGAAUUCCCAUGGUACGUGUUGCGCUGCCUCAAAGAGAGCAAGGCCGAAGCAACCUAAUAAUGAAAACAAAAGACAAUAGCUUUUGGUCCUAAAGACUUUGCAAUAUAGACAACAAAAAUCUAAGGAAAAAGAAAAAUGUGCAAUUAAAACAUGAGUGGCAUAAGGUCCAUGAAUGAUUCUUACCUGAUCAUUGGCAUCUCUUAGCUGCACAAGCACCAUAGCAUAUUGCUUUCUAAAAUGCUCCAAAUCUUUAAUGGCAUCACCAUCCUUUUGCUUUCCAGAAACUUCUUCAUUCAUGUGCCUCAGUUCCAUCAGCAAAGCUUCCUACAAAACAUUAACGCGUAGCAGUUCACCAAUCUCCGCUAAUUUCAGUAGUCUUAACUUAAAGAAUCCCUAAAAUUUUCUUCAUAACCACUUUCUGAUUUAUGAGCAAUAAGAACAGAAAGAAAUCCACCACAAGCAACAGGCACCAGAUGUAAGUUAAAGGACAAAAAUGUUUUGCAAUAUAAAUCUAGCAAACACAUCAUAUGCAAUCAGCUGUUACAAAUGUAUAUUGUUAUGAAAUUCCAAAAGAAGCAUUUACAAACUAGAUAGGAUCUUUUGAAUUUAAAUGUCACUAGAAUAGCUUAUAAUAUUGUGAAAAACUACCCAACCAAACAACAAAUCCUGUCCAACAUAUUUAGGGUUAGAUACAAACAUAAAUGGCAAAAUAUCAAAGUAGAAUCAUCUGCAUUGAUUAAAAGCUUUCUCAACUGGUACCAAAAAGAGAGUUUGUGGACAGGGGUGCAUGCCUAACUGAAAUUUAACAGGCAUCAAAUGGCUAACAGUUUACAUGGACAGCUGUCAGACAUGCCUAAGGAAUGAAUGCAUAAUGAUAAGAAACAAAGGUCAUAGCCAUGGUCUGCCGUACCAGUCCGUACCGGCCGGUACGGGCCGGUACGUACCGGUCCGGCCUGGGACCGGUACCGGAUCAGCGUGGAAUCCGGUACCGAUAGUUUAUUGUUGAAAAACCGGUAUGGGACCGGUUCCGGUAUGGCGGACCUUGGUCAUAACACUUGUGAGUUGAUCUCUUAUUUUAUCUGGACAGCACUAAUAAUAUGUUUUAGACCCACAAAUCACAACUUGACCUGUAUACACAGGAACCAUUGGACUUUGCUCCAUUGCCCAGGUAGGAAGCAUCCCUGUAUCAGCAAGUUAAGCUGCUUCCAUUGAUAUCACUAGAGCAGUCAUGGACACAAGAGAAGACCCGUGGUAAGAAAUGAAUUUGUAAAAAUGAUACGUUCAAGAGAUGAAUUCAUUAUAUGUUAAUAAUAAGUAAAUAUGGCACAACUGUUUAUGCUGGAAUGCAGUUAUUUUAUUCCUUCAAACAUAACGUUUACAGGAAGUGUCACCUAGACACUUUAAAAAUUAGCCUUUUUGAUGUAUCUAGUCACAUGGACACCUAUAAGCUUCAUAACACUCCUUCACACUUUAAAUCAACAAACAAUGAUAGUAAACUAUCAACACUUGACACUUGACCAAGGUUCCAAAUCUCAGGAUAUGACCCUGUACUAUUCAUGUACUAGUAUUGUACCACAUAUGCUCCAGAUCUACACAUAGUUUGCUGAACCAGACCAUACCCCAAUGUUGAUACAAGUCAAUAUAAUGGGCAACAUGGAAAUUUGAAAAUGAGGAAUUACAAUGUCGAAUUUAUAAAAUUGAACAUAAACUACAAGGUUUAAAGCGAUUUUAAAUAUAUAUAUAUAUAUUUCUCCGGGAAUUCUGGCAUAUGCCUUACUAAUCCCAAAAUCAGAAAGAUGUAUCAAACCAUUAGAAGUUUAGAACUUUUAAUUUAAGAUGAAUUGAUUCAUAGGCAAGAUGUCUGCAAAAGAUGUGAAUAUUUUGUUCAUAGACACUUUAAAACUGGCACAUUGUAUUGAGCAGUUCCGAUUUCUGUUUUGCAACCCUAUUUUGAAUUUUAUAGGGUGCAUGAAUUAUAAGCCCAUAAGCCCACAAUACAUGUAGAUGUUUUUUAUGCUUAUGUCCACAUCAAUGCUCUUUAUGGUGAAUUUUGGAGAGUCUCUUAUUUGUUUUAUUAACUUGAAUUGCAACCAUUAAGUAAAACCUUUCUACCACCAACUGGCAGGUUUCACAACAAGCACCUUUCUUGCCUAACUUAGCAUUGGCCUAGAAAACCACACCCAUUUCCAGAGGUUGACACCAGAUCGAACUGGUCAUUAAAUGUGCCAAGUCCUUGGAGCCUUCUCAACUGACAGGUAUGCUUUCUGCUCCAUAACUUACCUCAAAUUCAACAGGAAAAGGCUUUGACAAUAACAUCUCCUGCUUUAUAGUAUGAAAAAAGCAGAUAACAUAAUGGUAUACAGAAUGUUAUACACGGAAUCAUAACCAUCAAGCCUUAUGGCAAAUUUCUAGGGUCAACAAUAAAUUUUCCCUAGGACUUUGGUAGCGAAGGAUAUAUUGCAGUAAGAAACCCCACCACAAGGAAUUGUUACCAACAAGCAUUACCUUUUUAUCAAGGGCACGCGACAACUCUGCAAGGACUCUUAUGUCAGCUUCUCUUUCUUGUAUUUGUGACAAUGUACAAGGCUGACUGUACAUUGCCUGUUGUGCAGCAACUGCAACUUCAUUUACAGUAGCUUUAGCCUGUACAAUGGCAUCAAUUGUGUCCCCCUGUCAGAAAGGUUCGCCCGUUAGGAUACUCCUUUACAAACCAUCACUGUUCAAAACAGAAAAGGAUACAGAAUGAAAAGCAAAAAACCUUUGCCUGCUUCAUUAAAGUAUGCAUCGGAUAACUAGAAGAAGCAAUAUUAGAAGACCCAUUUGUAAUUUCCAAACUCUCAGCUGGAGCAAACUUCAUGGAGCCUCCAAUCUUCCACUCCUUGGAUCCAUCAUCUAGCUUUGUAUCUGAGAAGCUGGUGCAAAACUUAUUCGCAACAAUAUUCUGUCUUCUAAGAGCUUCAGGAAUAUUUUCCAAUGGGUUCAGUGGCAUGCAGUCGAUAUCCUGGAAAUAGUAUUGGUGAUUACACAAUAUCCAGGAGCUUGCUAUAAAAUUCAGAAGUCACAAAUCACAUUGAAUCUUUUGUCAAUAAACAGCAAAAACAUUCAUUUGGUAACCAACCCUUAGAAUCCAAAACAAAACAAAAAAAAGAAGCAUCAAAUUGCACUUGAAUAGUAAACAAUAAUGAUCAAAAAUAAACUAUGAAACCCAAGAAAAUCCAAUUGCUUCAAUAAAAGAGCACUACCAUUUUAGUAUUAAGAUUUUCUCCACCAAGAGUUCAAGCAUCGCUGACAUGGGGCAUACCAGCCAGCGGCCAGCCCUAGCAUGUCUUCUCAUGCCUACAUGUGCCAUACCAUACCGAAGAAUAAAAAUCAAGAAACAUACAUUUUGGUUCCUAAAACAGUUAAUAGACUUUACUUAAAAAACAGAUAAUAUUUGCUUAUAAACAGGUAAUAUUUAGGCAUAUAUAUGUAUGUGUGGGUAUCUAAAAUACAUGUACAUACUAUAUGAAUUUUGAGCCAGGGUGAGUGGGGCUAUCAAGCUCAUAAAUCAGUGGCCCAAGCUCAACACGGUUUUAAAUGGGGCCACAAAUUUGAGACCCAAGCUCAGCCAAGCCAAAGAAACAUUAGCCCAACCUACUUACAAUACAAGCUGGGUUGAACAGCCAUUGGCUGGCCAAGCCCAAUUUGCAUCUCUAGGUCUACCAUACCAUAAGUCCAUAACCCAACCAUCAAUGCUAAGGGAGUUACUUUAUCUUAGAGAUACGAUCCCCUUGAACUUAAGGGACAUCCCCACCAAGAAUUUGACAUAAAAGUGACCGAUGAUGAACAAACAAUAGAUCUGGUGAUGAAAAAGAAGCUAAAAAGAUAGAAUGGAAUGAAUAAGCUACAAAAAGUUGUAUAUGAAGAUUAAUGGAAGACUUACCCUGUGUUUCGUUGGGUUCAUGAGAGGGAGGAUAUAUAGGGUUGGAAGGAUGGAUGGCCCCCAUCCACCAUUUGAUUCAAAAAAAAAGUUAGGAUGGAUGAAAAUGAGGGAUUGCCCAUCCAUCCUGACCCACCAAUUUGCAUCGAAGGAUGGAUGGAAAAUGUGAAGGUGAGAUUCUACAUUGCCAAAAUUGCCCCUCAUUAAUUUUUGACAAAACUCUAACACUUUCACUUUUUCAUUCAUUUUAUUUAUAUUUUUUUUGUUUUACCUAUACUAUUAACCCUAUACUAUUAAAUUUUAUUACUAAUUAUUUUAGUUUUAGUGCAUAAUUUCCAUAAUUAUAAGCAAAAGAUUAGAAUUGUCUUCUAUUUUUCUAUUUAUAUUCACUUAUUUUUGGUUAAAUAUUUAUAUAAAAUUGAUUAACUAUUUUAAUUAAAUUAUAAAUUAAUUAGCCAUUUAUAUAAUUAAUAUAUAAAUAAAUUAAUUCAUAUAUAACUAAUUUAUAAAAUCAUUUAUUUAACGAGAAUAAAUUUAAAUUAAAUAUUUAUAUAAUUUUUUAUAUAAUUAUAAAUUAUAAAAACUAUAAGUUUAUAUAUUGUCCUCCUUUAGUAUAAAUAAGUGUUAUAAAUUGAUAAUAAUAAUACUUUUAUUAAAGGGUAGUUAGUAAAAAUGUCAUAUACAUAUCAUCCAUCCUGUCUUUCAUUCCUUCUACACCAAAUAAAGGAAGGAAUCAUUCCUAUGCAUCCUUCCAUAUUUCACUAAAUAGACGGCUCCCUCCUCCAUCCAUCCAUCCUCCAAUCCGUCCUUCAUACCAAACAGAGGAUUAAGGUGCCAAUCAAGGAUGUAUCUAAAUGCAUGGACAGAUGUAUGUAUGUAUUGCGCAUGCUUGCGUGCAUGUAUGUAUGUGUGUGCACACUGUGUAUGCCUCUAUGUAUCUGUGCAUGUAAAUCAGUAAAUGCUUAUAUAAAAUAUUCGUCUCCUCACAGCUACAAGUUCGUCCUCAAAUUGUAAAACAAUAAAUUUGAAUUAGGGAAUUUAAUGAUGUAAUUUCAAAAAUAUAAAUAACAAGGUCAAAGAUUCCAAAAACAAUAAGAACGAACAAAACUAAUUAGCUAAGCAGCAGCUGUUUUAUAACGCAAUUACCAUCACAAGCUCGACCCCUAAUUCAGGCCGAUCAAAUUGAACUCUGCACCGGUUCCGGUCAACAGUCAGAAUACUUCCAUCAUGAAUUUCUCUUGUUUUGGGAUGACAAGCGAUAACACGUUGCCCAACUGAUAAAGGCUGAGCCAGAUCUGUUGGGAGUCCUUCUCUAACACCAGCUCGAAGUUCAGCAUAAUGCUUCCUUACUGAUUCCCGAUAUUGCUCAAGCUUCUCUCUUUCUUCCUGCAAAAACUGUUUUGACAACCUACGUGGCUUUCCAAGAGAACUGCGAUAAUGAACAAACAAGCAUUUAGGUAAACAGUCUCAAUAAAACAUAAAUACGAAAUAUGAAAAUACCUUCGUAUGACACCCCACUCGAUACGAGUUAGCCUUGGCACAUGGCCCAAUCUCACAUGAUUUAGGUACUCUACAAACUCACUUUUGGCAAACCAAGGAUAAUCUAUCGCACUGUAAAACCAUUCAAACAUACACCAUCUACGCAACAUUCGAGAAGACAAGCUGUGAGAAAGUUUUUGCUGCAAGAAGUAACAUCAGACUUUGUUAAAAACUUCUAGCUGAGUAACACUUGGACCAUAGAAGAUAAAAUAUAUCAAACCUUGAGAUCAACCACCCUGUUGACAGGAUGUGAGUACUUAUCAGGACGAUUGCCUACAGUAUUCUCAUUGGACUUAAACUCCUUCGAUCUCCAUGCUUUCUGUAGACCUACCUUGCGGCGGCUUCUACUUUUGGUUAGCAAGCUAACAGGACAAGUACUAGAAGCCUGUACAAUUGUUUCGUUUGAAUCUGUGACUGGUCUAACUAGAUCAGUACUUGAAGAAGAGUUCUCCUGUGGUUUAACCAAUUUUGCUUGCUUUGGUGAUGAACUAACUUGACUAACACGUCUAGUUUUACUAAUCAAUCUCUUCCCUUCUUCUGGUGAGACCUGGAAAACAAGUGCAUCAGAAGAAAUAUUAAUAGAAAUCCAUAACUAGAACUUCGUGCCAUCUUAUUUUCAGAAGGAAUUCAUCUAUCAAUUACUCCAUCAGAGAAAGAAAAAACACAGUCAGCAUAAAUUAUUCUCAAAUUGCAAAUAGUAAAUAAAGUGAAAUAUAAAUAUAAGGCAAACAAAGAAAACUAGAAAACUAACAGAAAAGAUGAAAAUAGAUUGGCAUGAAGAAUUUGAAUCAAAAUUUUAGAAAAUGAAGUUCUUCUUUUUUAUAUUCUGGUUUUUGUGUGUGCGUGCCUUUUUUUUUUGGGCGGGGGGGGGGGGGAUAUGCAUCAACUUAAAUGUAUUAUUUUAAUCAGUCAAACCAGAUAUAUAUCAAUUUUGAGCUUAUUUUUGUGGUUAAUGCUUAAACGUAGUUAUGAAAUGUUAGCUUGAGCAACAAUUGCUUAAAAUUAUUUUAAUGCACAUUUUUAACAACAAUAGAUAAAUAUAUCAAGGAAGACUUGUGUAAUCCUAGAUAAAAGCAAAACUAAAAAAUAAUGUUCACCAAUAAUAAUUAAUAUAAGUUUAUUAAAAAAUAUAAAUAUAGAAUAAACCUUGACAAAUGUGAAUCCUUUUACAAAUUUGUGAAUCUUUUUGCAAUGGGGUGUGUCAAGUAUUAGAAUCAUAUGGCACAAUACCUCUACCGUGCCAAUGUUUAGCUGGCACCUACAUAAUAUGUAAUACUUAAUUACGCCUCCAUGGCAAUCGCUUAACCAUGAAUAUGUGAUACUUAAUUACGCCUCCAUUGACCUGAGUUUUGAGAAGUUCUAGUAUACAUGUAUGGUUACUUUAGCAAAAUUAGCACAAAGAGUUGUGCAUCUCUUCAUGUCUACCACUUUCUGACAUUUAAUUACUUAAUACUGUUGUUUAUUCUUUUUUUAAUCAUCGAUUCUUUUUCCAGUUUUUAACCUUCUUAGUCAAAACUAGCAAAAAUAAUUUAAUGUCCUCUUUUGAAUGUAUUAGGCAGAAAGUAUUAAGGGGAAAAUGUUCCUCCUACUCCCCAUCAUUACCACAUGUGAAUUUGGACCUUGUGAUGGUUAAGAAGUCCAUAAAAAAAUUUCAACCACUAGCAAGACCAUCGACCAAGACAUCUGAGCCUUUUCAUGAAAGAAGGGUACAAAGGCUAUCCAAGAAGCUUUAAAAAUGCCACGUCAUGAUUGAAGCCUGAGGGUGAACCAUGGCCCAAUGGCACCGUUCCUCCAUGGUCGCAAGUUCGAAACACAGAAGCAGCCUCUCCACAUGCAAAGGUAAGGCUGUGUAAAUUUGAGCAUCCCUAGACAAAACAAUGGCAAGAGCCUUGUGCACUGAGCCGCCCUUUAUGAUUGAAGCCUCUUUUAUAAAGGUUCUUUUUGCAUUAGGAUUUCAAAUUGCUAAGUCUUAUUAUUCACAAAAAGACUGCACAUGAACAAGCCUUGCUAGAAGGCCAUAAGUAGAAGUCAUCAAUAAUGGCAACGAGAACAGCAUAGGGCUAAUCAAAUCUAACAAUUAUGAAACACACACAAACAAGACCAAGAGCUCAUGCAUACCAGGCAGAAUCAAAGUUAUCUCCUCACAUUGGUGCUAACUAACAAAAUAAGGUACAACCCGUUUUCAUUGUACAAGAAAAGGGGGAUAUAAUAGAGUUUAUUUCAUGCAUUAUAUAAUAUAUAGACUUACUAAAAGAAGCUAAAUAUCAAUGUAUCGAUUUGCAUAUAGUACAUUUGACAAGAAAUAGCCAGCUGAAAUUCAACUAUAAUAGAAAGAAAAAAAGGUCAAUCAGAGUCUUUAAAACUAUUCCAGAAACAUUUUUUAGCCAUCAUAAUAAGAAAUCAAGUUAUGAGGAAAAAAAGGAAGAAAGAUUAAGGCACCUCUAUCUUCUGUGGUUCACAUUUCUGAGAAUCACCAUUAAAUUCACCUUUUGAAGCCUGCAAAUGGUAAAAAUAAAUAGGUAGAAGUCAUAAAACAAAGGCAGCUCAUAUCCUGCCUGAAAAAGACAUCUCAUACACUGAACAAAUGACGGUAAGUGCAAAAAAUGAGAUGGCAAUAUCAUGUUUAUCAAAACAGUUGCAUUAGAAUCUUACUUUUCCAGUCGAAGACUUCCGUUUUUUUUUCUGCAUCUUACUGGUGCAUGCACAAGUUUGCUGCUUCACUUCAGAAAUGGCAUUUACAUCAUGACGUAAACACUUUGCAGGCUUAGCACUUUUCCUGGUAACAGCAUCAGUACCAACACUUGUCGAAUACCCUGUCUCCUUUUUCACUGAAACUUUGGCCUGAUCUCUCUCAUGUGUUGUUGACAUUGAUUCAGGUAUAUUAGGCUCCUCAGCAGUGUUGAUGUUUCUUUUCUCUUCUUUAACUUGGAAAGAUGAUUCUAGAAUUCAUACGAGAAAGACAUACAUAUUAGAAAAACGGAAGAUCAGUUUUUAAAUGAAUAACAUGUAGAUAAGGUCAGAAAGGUGAAAUUAAAAAACAAAAAACACAGUGCUAGUAAAUUCAUUUGGCUAAUAUCGACAAAUUUCAUAAAUUAGACAUUAAUCCUUUAAACAGUUCAUGAUAACCUCUGAAGGAAAAAAAAGUACAGUACUCAGACAUGUCGAAGCAAGAUCAUUUAGUCAAACUAACUAAAAGGACUUGUCUCCAGAAAUGAUUAAAGGAUCAUGUCUUGGUUUUUGUUCUUUUAUAUAUGCAAUGAUAUUGAGCAGCUAAACUCCAAUCUGUAUAUGAUGAAUGAACUCUCUCACUCGCAUGCGCAUGCGCUCAUUCGUUGCAUUAGUAUGUGGGUGCAUCUGCAAGCACCAGCACGGAAGAUAAAGGUUUUAUCAGGAGUCCUACAGAGAGUGAGGAAUGAGCAAUUAUCUUUUGUAUCCACUAGUACUAAUAAAAGUCAAGAAAUGUUUGAUUAUAUUAAUAUUAACUACAUUUACUUUAGACACAAAAUGAUCAUUAUAGACCCCAUAGAAUCAUCAUCAAGAAAGUUUUAGAAAGAGAGAAAAUUUUUUCCAUGCUAUACCACAAAUAACCUCCUCAACCAGCCACCAUGGAAAUAUCAGGCUAAUAGAGAAUCUUAGACAUCAUCAAAAAAUAAAACUCUAUUUACUGAGAAUUUAUACCUUAUUAAUCCACUUCAAGUUAUAGAACUUCUUCGGUAAUGUGCAUGAAAGUUUAAGCAGGACUGACAAAAUCAUGCCCAGUAUGUAGAAUUUCAAAUGAUUAAUUAAUACAAUAAAAUGCUUAAGAAAAUUUAGUGCCCUUAAACUUCUAAUAAACUAGAACUUAACAUGCCUUUGCAACAAACUCAAAAAUUAUUAGUUGAGAUAAAAAUGCAACGUUCUUCCUAGAGGUUCUGCAAAAUAAGGCCUUUGGCCCUUUAGCCUUAGACAAGAUAGGUUUUGCAAAUGGCUGAAAUUGCCAAACCUCCAAAAUCAAGGUCAAAUUUUGACAUGUUUAGACUGAAAAUCUGAAAUUUAAAACCAUGGAUGUAAUAAGAUUAUUGUGCAUGUUGAUAAUGAUAAACAAUCUACGUUCACCUUAUCUGGCAUAACUUCCUGUUUUUCUGUAUACAUAUAUUUACAGAUAAAUGACAGUAAAAUGUUCUUAGCAGCUCAGAUCUAAGUUGAUACAAACUUCAAAAACCAAAAGACAUUGAAUCCAAUUUCCAAUCCACAAAUAGUGAGGUUUACAAGUUUAAUUCACUUGAAACAAGUUUCCUGAACAUGUUAGUAAUGUAACAAUUAUGAACAAUGACCCACUUUACAAAUGUAAAUACAUCCCAACAACAAUUUCAUACUAACUUUUGGUAAUAGUAGUUCUCAAAAAAGAUCUAGAAUGAAAGGUCAUGAGAAUGUGCAUUCUUAAUCUCUGAAAAGGAAACAAAAGGAACCAAAGGAAGUACUCAAUAAUUCAAUACGAAAAAAGAAAGCAUUGCAAACUACAAAAGGAUGAACACUAAUUCUGACAACAAUGACUUGUUAUGUAUCAUACUAGAGUAGUAGUAAAAUUAAAAAAUACAAAAAAAAAAAUACUGAGACAUAUGAACAGGAAACUAACCAGAUUCAACGGUAGAGGUAGGCAGCAAGAUAUUUACAGACAAAUCUGCAAGUGUCUGUAGAGCAUCAAGGGCGGAGCUUUCAUCUACAUGAACAAAACAGUGAACAAGAAUAAUAUUUCGUAGGCAUUUGAUGUAACAGACAACAAGAGAAGAUGGCAUGUGCCAAAAGAAAGUGAAACAACAUAAUUGUAUAGCAUCAUGCACCAAUCAAUUUAACAUAUUCUCAAUGUCAAGCUUGAAAGGAAACAAAAUUAGCAUUAUGCACAAUUCCAUAGAAUAUAUUAUAUUAUCAAGCUGGAAAGGAAACAAAAGGUAAAAAUCACAUACAAAGAACUAAACGAGAAAAAUUGAGAAUCAUGAAAAUAUUUCAAUGACCAACAUACCGAAUAAGUAACCAAAAAUUAUUCAAAUAAUUCAUUUUAGAAGAUUAGAAUAUUCAAUAUAAAAGAUUUGUCUAUCACCAGAACUAUGAAAGUUCUUUUUCCUUUUUUGUGUGUGUGGGGUGGGGGGUGGCGCAAUCUUGCUCAUUUGUCUAGAAAGGGAUCAAAGAUGUGCUCAAUGUCAUAUGACACUUGACCAUAUAGUACAUGGAAUAAGCAACACAGUUAAAUAAAAGAAGAUGGUAGUAAGAAUUCAAUUCCAAUUUGUACAUUGUUAAGCUAGAAAUAAAGAACAAACAAUAAAAUGUCGUCACAGCCACAAAUAAAAAUAUUCAAAAGAAGAAAUGAUAACUACCUUUUAAUCAUAUUGAGAAUCCUAAGAAAAAGCACAAAAUUUGACACGUACCUCCAAAAAAUAGCUGGCGGCUUCUUUUCCUUGAACUCUUGGAUCCUCUUACAGUUUUACCCUCCAUAGUCUCUCCGUCAAUUUCAUCUUUAACUUUUCUAAUAUUGAUGCCUUCUUCAGUACCACUGCAUGCUUCCCUGUCAUCAUCAAGUUGAUCAUUUUCCAUGUCUGCUGCUGCUUUUUUUCUCUUUUCCUGAAGUUUCUUCACCUUCCUUCUAGUUUCAACUGCUGCAGCCCCGUCAUUUUCUAUCAGACGAGUGACAUCUCUAACAAAAUCUCCAUUCUCAGCUUCUCUACUUCCUAAACUGCCUUCAUGACAAUCGCCCUCAAUUUGAACACCAACUAACUUUGAGCUGUCCAUCUCCGACUCGUUCUACAUUUUGUAUUAGGAAGAGAAUUUUUUAUUAUUUAUAGCAUUAUGGCAGAAGAAAUAAACUCCAGAACUUAAGAUGCUCACCUUUUUUUCACCACUCUUAGCAGGAGAAGAUCUCCUGUGAUCAGCUCUUCUUCCAGGGGUUCUAGAAAGCUGCGGUGAGCCUCCUCUCUGAGAAGCCUCUGCUAAAGCCAAUGCAGCCACAUGAGCACCUUCAUCAUCAGCAGUGUUUGAAACAGAUUUCAAUGCUUGUUUAUUUGGAGAAAGUAUUUUAUCCCUGUCGUCUCUGCUGUACAUAUUUGAAACAGGGAUGCGGGGAGUCCUUUUCCCAACCGCACGAGGUCGGCUACCUGGAAAUAGAUCUGGCAAUGUUUCAAGAACUCAAUUUUAUUCAGCUGAAAAAAUAGAACAUUAAAUUUUGUGUCUGUAUUUACGUAUACAAACAUCAGAAGCAUGAGAACAUCCACAACAGAGGUUGACUAAGUGAGACUCAUGACAUUCACAUAAACUGAAAUGAAUUAGAUUCUAACAUUGAUAAAUAAAAAAGCUUCCAGACCAGAUGAAGUAUAGUGGCAACUAACAAGAAUUAUAGGCAAAGGAAUAAAGCGCAAUGGUUAAAAUUAUGAUAAUGACAAGAACAAUGUGAAAUGAAACAUAAGAAUAUCAUAAUGUACAUAAUUUCACCAGUACUAUCAAUCAAAGUCGGAAGCCUUGAUAUAAAGCUAUACAAGAGGGUACUUGAACAACAGCCGAACAAUAAGCCAUGUCAAGAAUUUCGGAAAAACCAAUCUGGCUAUAUGCACAGAAGCUCUGCAACUGAAGAGUUUCCUUCGAGGCAAGUCAUAGAAAAUUUUAAAGCAAAGACUAAAAUUAAAAGAUAUUAAUUUCAACAAAAAUUACAUAAAUAAAUAUAAACAGCACUUGGCAGUUGGGAAUGAUGAUAGGCGCACUGCCAACUUAACAGAUAUUGCAGCUCUAGAUAUUACAACUGGGAGUUAUAAAAUAUAAAAUGGAGUAUUUGACACCAGUAUUUCUGCAUGUUUGUGCACAUGUCAUGGUUAAAAGUGCCAGCCAGCAUAUACCAUGCUGGGUAAGUAUCAGCACCCGGCAGGGAUCUGCGCUGCACCUGUUAAAUCCAUAUUUUAACACUUUUUAAGUACUUUUAGUUUUUGCUUUAGCCAAGUAAGACAAGUGCAGGCAUGAAGUGGUUUAGAGUGCCAGCCACAUGUACCUUGCUGGGUUAGUACCAGCACCCAGCAAGUCUGCACUGCACCUAUUAAAGCAUAUUUAAUAUGUUUUUAUUUUUUAAGUUUUCUAAUAUGCUUCAGCCAAGUAAGACAAGUUCAGGCAUGAAUAGCCAUGCCAUGCCAACUUCCGAUUGGCACAGGUACUCACACCGAUAUCUAAAACUCUGGUGCAUGUGCAUGUGUGCUUGAUUGAAGCAUCUAUAAAUGCAUAUAACUGGCCAAAGCAAAUGUCUAAGAAAUUCAUGAUGCCAAGCUGACAGCCGACUAGCAAGGGUACUCACACCAAUAUCUUAAUCCUUGGUGCAUGUGAAUAUGUAAUUGAAGCAUCUAUAAAUGCAACUGCUUAGAUGACUGGUCAUCGCAUAUGUCUAGAAGAAAAUCAUGGGCAUGGAAGAAUCAAUGUAUUGUACUCAGAUCCUUCAGAAUUAUAUAAAUGCAACCAGAAAUGUUUCCUUUGUUUAGUUCUACUUUCAUCCGCUGCUACCUCAAAUUGAUAGUGAUAAAGAAUUAAAAAAGUUCUUGGAAAGUCUAAAUGUUGAUUUCUUGAAACUAAAAUAAGUAGGCACUUGGAGAUGACAAGAUCAAUCUUCUGCAUCUAUAUCUCCUGAUCUUCUAAAAUAUAAAUGCUUUGCAGUGAACUUUUCGGCCAUAUUAAGUCUCAGGUGGAUUGUCAAAUGAAGCAGCAAUGCUUCCAAUAAAGGUAUUCAGAAAAAUUCUACAGAGCCAUUAUGCUGAAACCUUGAAAGUUACCUCCAGAUCGCUUCUUCUUUAAUAAUGACAGGCAUCCUGAUGUUGGACCUGACUGAUACUGCAGUAGAUCAGGAUAGGGACCAUCGGAACCUUUUGACAUGAGUCGAAAUUUUCCCCGACCACGCUUUUGAGUCUUGCGAGAUGUUCUAGACACAUCAUUGCUUUCACGACCACUGUCGCUCCCUUCCUGUCAGUUGAUAGUUCCUUGCUUCAGAUAACAGCCAAGUUGUCCAACCAAACAGUAACAAGAUCAAAAUUAAGGUUGACCGUGGAAAAUUUCAGAAGCACAGCCAUGAGAUAUUUAGAGCAUAUUGCAGCACUGAAAGAACCAAUUCAGUUGUAGCAUAGAAUAUAUCUUAUAAGUCGAGCAAUACCAUAGCUGUCCAGUUAAACAGCCACAAACAUUAGAUAUUUGGAAAAUUAUAAAAAGAAACAACUAUACAAUAAGCAAUAAUAUCAUACAAAAGUUCAUUCAGUGCAUCCAGAUAACAAGGUCAUACUGAUUGUAUUACCAUAUAUCACCUUAGAGCAUCCAGCCUAUAGAUUUCUUUUCCUUUUUUACAACAAUAGAAACUAAUACACUGUUAACUUUGCAAAACUUAUAACCCUAAAUAACUAAAGAUUUAUCAGUGGGAGGUGAAAUAAUUUGUCAAAACCAUGGCAAACAUCUUUGCAAUCCAACUCAAUAUGUUUAAUUGUGAAUGAUAAGGAGGUCCUUGAAAACUCAAAUUGCUCUCCAGGUUAUGGGACCAGUGCAUGUUAAAAAGAAUUUACAGACUGAAGAAUAAUGGACAUAGGGUGGCCAUUUUAAUGGAAACACCUUAUUUAUUGUUAGAAGUCCAUUUCAAGUUGUGUAUCAACAAUAAUAUGACUUUUAAAGUCUAAGUACCAUAACUGUGUUCUUCUUCUAUGAGGUACAGUUCCAACAAUUUGUUCUUGUGUAGUAAUGAGAAGUUUUAAGCAGAAGAUUUCCACCUAUUACAUAGUUUUAAGCAUGAAAUUUGGCAAAUGAGGAUCCAUGAAACCAAACCCAACUAGUUCGAACAAGGCUUGAUGUUUAUGGUUAUGGUACGUAAUUUAAUCUAUCAUCCAUAAUUUAAACUCAACUUUUUAGAUUACUGGCAUAGAGCAAACCCAGGAAUUUUGACAGUGUUCAGCAGUGGGUAUGGACUUUACAUUAUCAAUGGGCAGCAAUGCUUAUCAGUACAGGCGCUUUGACAAAUAUAGACAUUUUCAUUGUUAACACGUUUUGUAAUUAUAUAGACAAAACCAAUUUUUAAAUUUAAAAUCCAUAUUAUUUUGUCUAUUGAAAAUGUCAAUUAUUUUUAGUAAUCUUGCCUUCAUCAGUCUAGUUUAUAUUUCACCAAGUCCAAUGACUUCAUGAAGUUUAAAAGCAAAAGCAAUUUUUUACUACGAAAGGAGAUUAGCCAGUUGCACUUAAAUAAAAACCUCCGAGUCUGGUGGAGAUGUACGACACUUUUGUAGGCAUAAUUGUUAUGGAAUUAUAAAUCCAUAUAAACAAAGAGACUACACUUUUGUGUUGGAAACUUGGACCAGGCACAUCCUUUAUGGCACCAAGUACAUGAAAUAUUUACUCAGGUGCUUUACCCAAGGUUUCAAAGAUAGUGACCUUUACACUAUCAACUUCACUAUGUAUAAAGUCGCUCGCUCGCACGCAUGCAUAAGGUUCCAGAUAUAGUGCUCUCUCCAUGAUCCAACUGAUGCAUGCACACACGCACACACCCACACAUAUAUACACAAAUACAUGUACAUAUGAGUGCAUAUGUGUGUAUACAUGCAUGUCUGUAUGUACCAAAAAAAAAAAGCAAUUGAGCACCAAAUAAGCCUAUAUAGUAACAGUAACAUCAAUAUGAAACUCAAUAUCCAAUCUCACCAGAAUAUUGUAGUGAUCAGUCAUCAUUGCGAUUAAUCCAGCUGCAGUAGCUGUUCCUUCUGGAAGGGAUAAGUAUGCCUGAGAUUGCAUAGUGACCAGUUAUAUUCAUGAAGAAAACACACGACUUAUAAGGUCAGCUUUUUCUCAAGACAUCAUUAUAAAAAUUAAGAGAGUAAAACAACAACAGUGUACUCUAAAAUGGUUAUAGUAAAAUUAUUGGAAAAAAACAUAAAUCAGUAGUAUGCAAGGUAUGCUGAUACAAUAUACAUGUGAUCAAAUCCUGUACCUCUAUUAGCCAAAGAAAAGAGUGCUCAACCAUUCCAUAGGUCAAGUCAUGACACAUAGCCCAAAGGCAAUCAGAUAAGGUUGUCAACUGGAAUACUGGAAAAAAAAAUUCUAAGCUGUUCUUCUAUCUUAUCUGCCACACUCUGAUUUACCCUGAAGUACCCACAUUGACACAGCAUGAUGUGGGUGUAAAUAUUACACUAGGAACGAGGCCACGAGAAAAACUCUUAGGCAUUAGAAGGAUCCAACACAGACACACACUCCAACCAGCAUAUCCAUGGCAACAUGGUUCAUCAUAACUUCAACCUUAUCGGAAAUAAAUCAACUAAAAAAUUUGAUCUCGUUCUGGAAAUUUCAAGGUUCAAGGUUGUUCAGAAUACAACUUUGGGUGGAAGAAUCAAUAAUCAUGUGGUUAGCCUCAUUUGCUCAUCAUUAACUUUGAAUCUAGUGCAUCGAAAGCUGACUACUAGCCAUUAUUGCAGUGUUCUGAAGUUCAUAGCUGAGAUAUAUGAAGAAUUUUCAUUGUUUGCAGGACUACAUAAUCAUAAAACUUGUGACCUGUGCAACAGUUCAAUCUGAAUUUCAAGAAUCCCAGAAGCAUCUUGAAGAUAGUGUUAGUAGGGUUUAAGUCAUCAAGCUGUUUGUGCAGAUUGUCAUGUUUAAAGGUAACGCUUGAUCCAACAAAAAAAAAAAACUUCACUAGGAAAAGGAAAAAUGAGCUAUCGAAAUACAAGUUACAAUAAUAUGGCUUGUACUGGUAUUUGAGAGCAUAUAAUGGUAUAUGUAGGGAAAACAUUAAAGGUGAAUGGUGACCAAACAAGAAUGAUACAACUAGCGAGAGAGUAACAUAAAACUAGAGGGCAAUAGAUAAGAUACUCCAUGCAAACUACAUGAUAGUGUUAGUAAAUACCAAAAAUAGAUACAUCAAGAAGCCAAAGCCAUUAACUUUAUAGAACCAAAAGCUCACAUACAUACAUUUAAGGAAAACUUAAUUAAAAAAAGAAAGAAACAGUAUAAAAGUGUUGAACCAUAUAUUAUUGCAGCAGUUAAGAUAACUCCACUGAUCAUAACAUGCAACUUCUAUCAAAAGGUAUCUACUAUUUUGUUUCGGUAUUAGUGUAUGGAUCAUAAUUUCUUCCUGGUCAGGAUUAUAUUAGUUUGGAGAGAGGAAGUUACAGUAGUUUCGCAAAAAUUUUAGGAAACAGAAUAAUUGACAGAUUGUUAUACGUGAUAAAUGUACUUGUAUAUAUGUAUGUGUCUAUAUGGAGAAGAAUGUGAACAUCAUGUAAAUAUAAAGGUUAAUCUAAACUAAGUUUAUUAAAAGAUCUAUGAACAACAUGCACAAUCAAGCAAACAGAUGUAUGUGCAGGCAAAUUGCACCCUUCAAAAUGUAGGUGCAUGUCUGUGUUUUUUUUUACCUCCCCUCUUCAAAUUUCUGAUAUGCAUGUCUGUUUUCUGAUAAGCCAGUAAAUAAAAUUUCAUACUUCAAAGUUUUUUUUAGUUAACAUUUAUUUCAGAAGCAGAACCUAAUUAUAGGAUCAGGAAAAGGUUGCACAAAUUCAAGGAAUAAAAUAUCACAUCAAGAAAAUACACUUUACCCUAUUCAUAUUGUAAAGAGCUUCCACCAUGUCUGACGAUCUAUUACGUACUGCACCAGCCACCUGGUAACCCAAAAGAGUCAAUACGUUUAGAAGAUUAUUAAUACAUGCAGAGAUUUUAAUACUUCAUAACUUGAGAAAAGGAAAAGGAACCCCCAGUAUCCCACAUAACAUCCAUUUCAACAAAUCAAAUAGCAAAAUUCAUUUGUUCAAUAACUACAGAACUGGGGUAAAACAACAUAUAUCACAAAGAAACCUUCUCAAAAACAAAGCAAGUUCAGAAAACAAUAUAGGCAA
rnacentral:lncRNA from 1 species